UACGUAGGGGGCAAGCGUUGUCCGGAAUCAUUGGGCGUAAAGCGCGUGUAGGCGGUUCGGUAAGUCGGCUGUGAAAGUCCAGGGCUCAACCCUGGGAUGCCGGUCGAUACUGCCGGACUAGAGUUCGGAAGAGGCGAGUGGAAUUCCCGGUGUAGCGGUGAAAUGCGUAGAUAUCAAGUGGAACACCAGUGGCGAAGGCGAGUCUCUGGACAUUUCCUGACGCUGAGGCACGAAAGCCAGGGGAGCAAACGGG
rnacentral:rRNA from 1 species